UCCUGUAUCCUCUGGAUAAAUUCUAUAAAAUUCUAUAAAAAUUCUAUAAAGUUCUAUUUUUAAUUUUUUGAGGAACUGUUUUCCAGAGUAGCUGCACUCAUUUGCAUUCCCACCAGCAAUGCAAAAGAGAACCUCUUUUUCCGUAUCCUCACCAACACCUGUUGUUGCCUGAGUUGUUAAUUUUAGCCAUUUUGACAGUUGUGAGGUGGUAUCUCAUUGUGGUUUUGAUUUGUAUUUCCCUGAUGAUAAGUGAUGUAGUGAUGUUGAGCAUUUUUCACGAGUCUGCUAACAAUCUGGAUGCUUUCUUUGGAAAAGUGUCUAUUCAUGUCUUUUUGCCCAUUUCUUCACUGAAGUCCCAAUUUUUAAAUGUUGGCAACCAACAUUGUUGAGCCAGUGGCUCAGUUGGUUGAGCAUCCUACUCUUGGUUUCCACUUAGGUCAUGAUCCCAGGGUUGUGGGAUCAAGCACCAUGGUGCUUAAGAUUCAUUCUCUCCCUCCCUCCCUGCCUCCCUCUCCCUCUCUCUCUCUCUCUCUCUCUCUCUGUGCCUGGGUGGUUCAGUAGGUUAAGCAUCUGACUCUUGAUUUGGGCUCAGGUUAGGAUCUUGCAGUUUGUGGGUUUGAGGCCUGUGUCGGGCUCUGUGCUGAUAGUUUGGAAUCUGGAGUCUGCUUCAGAUUCUGUCUCCCUCUUCCUUCUCUACCCCUCUCCACUUGUGUGUGCGUGUGUGCUCUCUCUCAAAAAUAAACAUUAAAAAAACAAAAACUAUGGAAAAAAAAAGCCUCUUUCUCUCCCUGUUUGCCCCUCUCCCCAGCUCCUGCUCUCUUUUUAAAAUUUUUUAAUGUUUAUUUAUUUUUAGAGAGAAUGAGAGACAGAGCAUGAACAGGGGAGGGGCAGAGAGAGGGAGACACAGAGUCAGAAGCAGGCUCCAGGUUCCAAGCUGUCAGCACAGAGCCUGACGUGGGGCUCGAACUCACAAAUCACGAGAUCAUGACCUGGGCCGAAGUCGGACCCUUAACUGAGCCACCCAGGCGCCCCAAGUCUAUUUCUUUUCUUUAUCUUAUCUUUAAGCAUGUACACUAAACUUAUUAAAAUAUAAAGGUAAUCAUGAUCAUUACCAUCCUCUGGAACAAUACAAGGACUUUAGAACAUGUUAAUAUCAACAAAAUUAGUCCUGGUUAUAUGCUAUUGGUAUACAAUAUUUUAGUUCUCUGCUUCUUAGACCUUCCCUAUCUGACCAGUUUGCUUCUAUCUGAAAACUGUAGAACUCUCUCAAGUGACGGUUAAGUGGCAAACUCUCUAGUUUUUAUCUUUAUCUUUACUGUUUCUUCAAGUUUUAUUGAUGCAAAACGUAUAACUAAAAUGAAUAGAUCUUAAGUGCACAACUGGUGAAGUUUUAUAAAUGUAUUCUUACCCCUAGCUGCACAUGCAUAUGCCAGUGUAAUUAUCUCAGUGAAGACAAAGACCAUCUUCGUCACCCCACAAAAUUCCCUUCCAGGCAAUCCCACCCUUCUGCCAAAGAUGACCACUGUUCUGUUGUCUAUCACCAAUAGAUGAGUUUUGCCUGUUCUCAAACUUCACAUAAAGGGAUUCAUACACUAGGUCUGCUUUGUGUUAAGCUUUUUUCACUUAAUAUAAUUUUUUUUCACAUUUAUACAUGUUGCUAAGUUACACAUGUACAUCUAUCAGUAGUGUUUUUUAAUUGUUAAGGAGUUUGAAGAUACCAUAAUUUGUUUAUCCAUACUCUUGUUUACAGAAAUACAGGUUGCUUCCAAUUUUUAUCUACUAUGAAUUAAAACUAUGGUUAAAAAUCCUUGUAUAAGUUUUUUUGAGGAAUGAUGUUUCCAUUUUUCUUAGGUAAAUAUGUAGGAGAAUUGCUGGAUAUGAUAAUUGCAUGUUCAAUUUUGUAAGAAACUACAAAACUGUUGUUCUUUCUUACACCACCAUCAGAAUUGUGUUUGAGAUCCAACUGUUCUAUGUCCUAACAAACACUUGGUAGUCUUAAUUUUAGCUAUUCCAGAAGGUGUGAAUUAUGAUUUUAAUUUGCAUCAAAACUGCAUUUAUGCUUGAUCAGUUGUAAACUUUUUCAUAUACUUGUAUACUUUAUUUGUUAAGUGUUUAAGUCUUUUGCCUACUUUCUUAUUGGGUUGUCUUUAUUAUUGAUUUGUAAGAGUUGUUUAUAUAUUCUGAAUACGAAGACUUUGUUAGGUAUAUGUACCAAUGAUAUUUUCUCCGAUUCUAAUGGAUAGAAGUUUUAAAUUUUGAUGAAAUCUAAUUAAUCUCAGUUUUCAUAGGGAGUACAGCCUUUGGAGGGUUCCAGCUUUCCUUGAGGGGGUGUCUUAUCAGACUUGGUUUUUUGUUUAAAAAUGUUUAUUUAUUUUUGAGACAGAGAGAGAGACAGACGGACAGACAGACUGAGAGAGGCAGAGGGGCAGAGAGAGAAGGAGACACAGAAUCCAAAGCAGGCUCCAGGCUCCGAGUUGUCAGCGCAGAGCCCGAUGUGGGGCUCGAACCCACAAACCAUGAGGUCAUGACCUGAGCCAUAGUUGGACGCUUAACCAACUGAGCCACGCAGGCGCCCCAAGACUUGUAAUUUCUUCAGGAUCUGAGCUUUGUCCUGUCACAAGGCACUUUAGUGCUCCAUUUAACUUAUUGGAUCCCUCCUACUACAAACUGAAUUAUGACUUUCUAAAAUUCAUGUGAGGUCUUAACCCGUGAUGUGACUAUAUUUGGAGAUAGAGCCUAUAAGGAGGUAAUUAAGGUUAAGUGAGGUCAUAAGGGCAUGCCCCUGAUCCAACAGUAUUAGUAACCUUCUAAAAAGAGAGCUAACAUCAGAGAGCUAACAUGUGCUCUCUCUCUGCUUAACUGAGAGGAAAAGCCUGGUGAGGUGCAGCAAGAGGCAGCAUCUGCAAGCCACGAAUAGAGUCUUUCCCUGAAACCAAACCCAGCUGGACCCUGAUCUUGGACUUCUACCCUCCAGAACUGUGAAAACAAAAUUCUGUUGUUUAAGCCACUCAGUCUAUGAUAUUUUGUUAUGGCAGCCUGAGGAAACAAAUACACUACCUUUCACAUAAGGGAGGAAGAUUUUAAAAAAAAGUUAUAACAAAUUGGGACGCUAACAUAGGAGUCAAACAUAUCUGAUGUUCCCUUAAAAGAAAAAGCAGACACAUUUCUAAGCUGGAUGAUGCAGUAAGUAUUGGCUUCAGGAUUAUGAUAAGGUCCAUUUAUUGAGAAACAUUAUAAAAACACCCUGAACCCAGCAGAACAAAAGAAGGGUAAUCUCUACACUCACAACCUUACUUAAAACUGCUACAUUUUUAGGGCCCCCAUUUUGAGAUACAUAUACCUGUAGUAUAUUUUGAAGAAGACUUUAAAGGUCUCAGCUAAUGUCUUUCCAAAUAAUUUAUUUAUGUAAUUUACUCACAGUGAGUUUCUACUCUUUUUACCUAGGGUCUUUUAAGUUUUUGUUUAAUUAAAAUCCUUUUACUACAGGAUAAUAAACUUUACAAACCUGACUUGACUUUAGUGGCUUAAACUAUUUUCCUUGUUUAGCUAUUCUUAACCACUGUUCCUUUGGCUUCACGGAAUAUAUUACUAUCUGAUGCUAGCAUCUUUAUUCCUGGCAUUCACAGGCAACCAGAAAUAUUAAAAGAAUUCAAAAUCAAUUUCGUAAAAAUGCUUUAUUGUGGACAUAAUGUUUGAUAUGGUUAUAUUUUCCUCUUCUUUGCAUGUAUUUUAAUACCAUCUUAAAGGAACAAAUAUUCCAAAAGUGAAAAUCUGAUACCUCUGUUAGUAAAAAAAAGUAUUUGUUUUGGCCGUGGGUAAAUCUACUACAAAAUAUAUUUGAGCUUUAAAUCAAAGUUAAAAUAUCUUCUGGAUACAAGGAUCUAGGUUUUAUUAAUAGCAACUGUACAUUCUGAGUUACAAUUAGCACUGAGUAGCAGAUUUCCUAUCAUUAUUUUAAAGAUUUAUCAGCUUAUGUUUUAACUACAUAAUCAUACUCUUAGGCCAAUCUUAAAAAUGUUUUUGGCAUUUAUGCUCAACUUUACUUCCUUCCUGGGCUUUGAAAAUAAUUAAAGAAUCUACUUUGUAAGCACUAACUUCCUGCCUUACACUGAGCUCCAUCAAUCUCUGCUGAAUGAAUGUUCUGAAAAAAUGAAUAAAAAUAAGAUAGAAGCCAAAACUACGGACACUGGGCUACAAAAAUACUUGCUUUUAUAAAUACAAAAGCGAACUGUAUAAAUAUUAUGCAUUUUAGGAGUGGUGGGGAAAUUGUCUUCAUGUUCUUACCUAGGAAAAUAUAAGAACAACUCCAUUAAUGUUCAAGGAAGUCAAAUAGAUUAAAAAAAAAAGGGAAGAAAAUUCAUUAAUACAAUGUAUUCAUCCUAGCUUUGUGAUUUGGGGCAAGUCAUUAAACCUGGCUUCUGGGGACAAAGGUAACUGGCCCACAUGCUACAGAGGCUUACAUAGAAGAAGUCAAGUGAGAUAUUGUAUGUGCCAGUGCUUUGGAAACUGUAAAGUGUUACUUAAGCUGUUAGGAUGAACAGGUACUGGACAGGUGCACAGUGUAGAGAAUGGGAUUGCUUUUAAAGUAGUAUUUGAGAAACAGUGAGUUGCUGGCUGAAAAAAAGGGAUGAGAGAGUAGGAAGAAUUUCAAGGUUGGGGAGGUGGUAGAGAGGGGGCUUGGAUGAUAAACCAAAAGGAGAUCUUAUUUUGUAGCAAAAAAUUUGUGAAAUUUCUGGAGUUAGCUGAGAGACAUAACGUGGCAGGUGCUUUUAUUAUUGCCAAGAUUUUGUGAUUAGAUGGUAAUAAGGAGCUUAGUAUAUAUAGAGUGUUAUGAUGGCCUCUAUAAUCCUGACUAAACACCAUGAAUAUAUCAUGUAUUCAGUUAAACAAUCUACAGAAUCUCAUGAUUUUCCUGCUUUCAGUAAAAUUGUUCUUAAAAUACUUUAAAUUCAAGUUUCAAGGUAUUUUAAACUUUAAUAUUCGGUGGUAUUGGGCGGAUGAGAUAUUAGGAGAACAUAAUAUAACUCCAGGAAGCUGACUUAAUUUUUCCAUUUUUGUAGAUCUGUAUUCUUUCCACCCUUAGAGUGGUGGAACAAGAGAACUGUCAUACCUUCGCUCCUUCUAGGUAGGCUGCCACUUAUUUUUCUUUUCAUCCACCAGGCAAUCAGACUGCCAUAGGCUGGUUGUCAGGCUCUCCCAGCCAUAGCUGGAGGUGGAGACUGGGUCUCAUUUUUUUUCUUUUCUCUUGAGGGCUUAAACCAGUUCUAGGUCUAAGCAAACACCUAAAGUAAAGGUCCCGAUACUUCCCAAAGUCCAACGAGCUCUUUCCCAAGGAUGAUGUGCUCAAUAAAUGUUACAUCAUUGACAUGAAAGGUGAGCAGUAUUUUGAACUAAUUUUGCUUUUUAGCUUUUGAUCCGACUACUGAGGUAUAAAACAACAAUUCUAAAUUUGGACAUGUUGGGCAGGUAAUGAACUGAAGGCAGAAUGUCCAAGUGCAGAUUUCCAUAAGCAAUUAGAAACACAUAACUGGAACUGCAGAGAGAGGUGUUUUAGAUACCUUUGUGUCUUUUUCCACAUCCUACUGGCCCAACUUUUGUUUCAACUCUUGCUGAGCCAACCAAUUUGUGUAUUGGGACCCACUGGGUGCUAAUGUAUGUAUAACCUCAAUGUGUUGGAGAGUUAGUCUCAAGAGGUAACCCUUGGUCAAAGGAGGAUGGGAGCCAGUACAAAUGCUUUCUUUUGUUGGUCAGUUGGGCAAUUCUGCAGUGUUUCUUUCAUCAACAAGUAGUAGUCAGAUGAGGCCCAACUUGCCUAUGGCAGUUGCUAAUAUAUUCUCCCCUUCCUUGCUCACUCUCUUUACUGCUGUGCCUUGGUAUCACUUCCCAAAGAAAACUUCCUGAGAACAAGCCCACAUCAAGGACACACCACAGGCUCUGCUUCCUGAGAGAAAUCCAGGGGCUAGAGAUGAAGAAUAAGAGACAACUAGUAAAAUGUGCGGAUAAAUGCUCGGUUGAAAGAACACUAAAACCCAGAGAACUUCCCCUAUUAAGGCUGAGAUGAGUGAAAACAGUUAGCAAAAAGGGAUAGAUUAAUUACUAGUAAGAAAUAGGAAAGUCAUGAUAAUAAUAUGUAGGCACUGAUAGGCCAAGAGAUCAGAGAGUUACCACCUAUAAGUCCUUCCAAAUUUUCAAUUCUAAUCUACCCACUAUUUAUUUUAGCCUCCUUAGAGUUCUGCCAUUAUGAUGUCAUACACUGCUUCAGAACUUUCUGGGUAUCAUCCCCCUCUCCCCAAUAUUUCUGUGAUUAAAUAUGCAGAGGAAGGGAGAGACAGAAAAAGAAGAAUGAGGUGUGAUGGAGAGAAAGGAUCACUCUUAAUAGCAAGGCAUAAAAAAACACAGAUAUUCUAUACCAUGUAACUAGUUAAUAAAUGUUAAAGUAACAUACUUCCAAUUUUCUAGUUUCCUUAGUUUGCUUUUGCCAAAUGCCUAUUCUACAUCCCCUAGAAACAUUAUCUCAAUCAUCCCUAAAAAUAGAAGCUCCAGGGCCCCUUGAAAUAUUAGAGAAAAUGGGAUCUUUGCUUAAAAGCUCAACAGAACAAACUUGCUGAAUUGACAUGAACAAUGAAAGCCAUCAAAGAAUCUCUUCAAUCAUCUUGUUAGCAUUUAUUCCCUUAUAGGGAAGCUGUCUUUCAUGAACACAAAGAACAAAAUGCAAAAAGGUAUUCUUGGAUUUUUACCUUGAAUGGUUCCAGUACCAAUUAUAUAUAUUCAAUUAAUUGUUUCUUUUUACAUGUCCCUUGGCAUAAGUAUAUUUAGAGGUGGCCAGAGUCUGUGUCUGCAUAGUUUUUUUCACUAUUGUUUCUUGAAAGGAUAUAGAAAGCAUACUGGUGAGGAAUGUCCACAGCAGCCAAUGGGGAAUAUCAGACUUCUUCCAAAAGUCAUUAGUAGUUUUAGCACACAGUUCAUAAAAUAUUCGUAUUUAUAAAAAGAAUUACAUCAUAAAAUCUCAAUGCUAAUACAAAAUCUUUGCAAAUUAUAAGGUUUAGUUUACUCUUCAAGAUUUUUUUAUUUUUAUUUUUUCAUGGAUAAACUAUUUUAUAGUUCUUUUUUCUUUUUUUUAAUUUUAUUUUUUUAACUUAAUUUUUUAUUUUUUUAAAUUUACAUCCAAUUCAAGAUGUUUUUUUAAAAGUUAGUAUUAAAACAAAAUGAUUUUAUCUUCCCCACAAGCAUCUGAUAAAACUUAAAAAAAUAUACUGAUAAGACACAAGGAUGUAGCUAUUGGCUGUUGCACCUUUUAAGCAUUUUUAUUUUUAAAAUAUUUAUUUAUUUUUGAGAGAGACAGAGGCAGAAUGAGAGUGGGUUAGGGGCAGAGAGAGAGGGAGACACAGAAUCCGAAGCAGGCUCCAGGCUUUGGGCUGUCAGCACAGAGCCCGACACAAGGCUUGAACUCGCAGACCGUGAGAUCAUGACCUGAGCCGAAGUCGGACAGGCAACCGACUGAGCCACCCAGGCGCCUCUCCUCUUAAGCAUUUUUAAAAAAAUGUUUAUUAAAAUUUUUAAAAAUGUUUGUUCAUUUUUGAGAGACAGAGAGAGGCAGAGCAUGAACAGGAGAGGGAUAGAGGGAGAGGGAGACACAGAAUCGAAAGCAGGCUCCAGGCUUUGAGCUGUCAGCACAGAGCCUGACGCGGGGCUCAAAUCCACAAACCGUGAAAUCAUGACCUGAACUGAAGUUGGAUGCUUAACCCACUGAGCUACCCAGGCGCCCCCACAAAUAUUUACUUUUGAGAGGGAAAGAAAGAGAGUGCACUCAAGAGCACAUGAGCAGGGGAGGGACAAAGAGAGGGACAGACAGAGAAUCCCAAGCAGGCUCUGUGCUGUCAACACAAAGCCCCAUACAGGGCUAGAUCUCACAAAUUGUGAAAUCAUGAUCUGAGCUGAAUUCAAGAGUUGGAUGCUGAGCCACCUAGGUGUCCUUUAAACAUUUUUAUACAACAAAGAACACCGUAGGUAAGCUUGGGCUGUAUUUUUCUUUUAUUAUACUAUGGCAAACUGCUUUUUCAGGAAAAACGUCCAGUUUUUCCAUGAGAAUUUGAGUAUAAUAAGAUCCUUUAGCCAUCUGAUGUUAAAGAAUAUACUAUUUGAUGCUACAUCUGGAAACAAGUAUGUUCCAGCAGCAGGUAGACAGCUCCAACUGGGUAAAUCAACUUCAUUAAUUACUGGAACAGAGGCAUAUUCUUUUCACAAAGAAUUUUUGAGUACAUGGGGAAGAGACAAUCUGCAACCUGAGUGUAGCUGAGAUCUGUGUCCUCCUUUCCCUUUCUCAAGCAAAUGUUUCUGAUGCAAUUACCUAUGAUGACUCUUGAAGGGAGAGGGGUAAAGGCAGAAUGUCAUAAUUUUAAGGGCAUUCAAUGUUACAGUAUUUAUAUUUAAAAGAUGAAAAAAUAAAGUAACUGCUGCACUAUCAGUGCAAGUAAAGCUUAGAUGUGUAGAAGUCAAACUCCAUUUACUAUAACAAGUAUUCUAUUCUAUUAUUUUAUUUUAUUUUUUUUUACUGUAGCAAGUAUUCUUAAAGGAGGAGGUUAGCUACUAGAGUGCUAGUAUAAAAUCAGAGUGGGGUGAGGAGCAGUGGUGGUGGAAAGGGUUGGGAUAUGUUUAGUGUACCCACAAGGGGGCAGCACACUGACAAAGUCCUGUGAAGCAUGGCCCCAAGUUCCUUGAUCCUUCUAUCCAUGUCUUCCUACCAAUUUCUUAGUAUCUCAUUUUCUGUUAUCAUUGCCUACAUGGAAAGCUGGCCGAAAGUUUUAGGAAGAAGGGAAAGGGAACAUCAUCUAAACUGUCUCAUAACUGCUUUUUACUCAAUAACAGGGGAAAGUCAGAAAAAGCAGGUGAGGAAGAAAGAAACAAAUGGAAGGAAGAGCUAAAAUAGGGUGGAGAAUAUGGACAAAAGGAUGGAAUCGUUCUCAUUUCCCCAUUCCUAUUAAUCCUCCCUUCAUGACUGACCAAAAAAGUUAUGUAUUUAUUCAUUUUAUAAAUAGAAUCUGGAUGAGGUACAUGGAGUAUAUCCAGUUAGGAUUAUUGUACAUUCACAGGUUAUCUUAAAAUUCACAAAAAUGACAAAUAAACCUAGCCUGGUCUUAUUAAAUGUGGUCUGUGAAUAGUCUACUAAUUGGGUUGUAAAAGCACAAGCAAAUGAUAAUAGUGUACUCCAAAAUGAAACAAAAAGCAGAAGAUAAUUCUGCUAUAUAAUUAGUAUAGCUUUUGUUGUUUUUAAAAACACUUUAGUACAGAACUCAUCCUCAAAAUGUGGUUAAUCAGAAGCCAAAUUAUACUGCUCAAGUUAUGGGGGACCAGAAGUCAAGAUUUUUGGAUUGAUUGUAUAAUAUGCAGAUCUUCAGAAUUACAGGGUAAGUCAUUUUUAUUUUUCAUUUGUUAUAACCAUUCUGAUAUCAGAAAUGAAUUUACCUCUGAAGCAACUCAGAAACCACACUUGGUUCUAUUUUUCAUGGACAGUGAUAGCAACUGAGAGAAUUUUAAUCAAUAAAAAACUUUCUUUUGACUAGCUCCCAAGAGGCAGGAGAAAGACUACAUUUUGCUGCUGGCCUUAAGUUAUUCUAACAAUGUAUUUGAGCUAGGAGAACAAGUGUUGAAAUUUCUCUAUGCUCAAUGUGGGGGUUGAACUCACAACCCGGAGAGUCACAUGUUCCACGCACUGAGCCAGCUAACAAGCACUGGGAUUUUCUGAAGCUCUUUGUCUCUGUAAUUCUCGUUUUGAUUUAUUGAGGAAAUUAUAGGACUUUUCAAUCAUCUGUUUCAUCAGCUGUGGAAGCUACGGUACAAGGGGAAUGAAGUCUGUAUGCAUUUCCUUCCUCACGACCAAAAGUUGGUGGGUGAGUGGGCUGGAAGGCCAAGAAGAAAUCCAUCCUACCCGUAUUUCCCUUUAAUAACAUAUAAAUAAGUGAAUUCUCAAAGGGUCAAUAGGAGAUCAUAAUGUCACUGCAAUGAUUGUAUGGGCUCAUGCUCAACACUAAUGACACCGAUCAAACUGAUUAACGAAUGGCUCAAGGUGAGAAAAAUGUCAGAAGUAAGUAAGAGUUACUACGGGAUUCUUCAGAUAAAGCUAUCUAUGUAGAUGAGACAAUGCUCUUUUAUAUUAAAGAGUAAAAGAAUGUGUAUGUGUGUGACUUAAGGAAGAAAUUUCACGACAGGAGAAGAAUAACUGCUUCUGUUCUGAUGCCAACCACAUCUGGUGACCUCGUGACUAUGGGAGAGCCCAGGUCUUAUGACCACCAUAUCAAGCUCUUGAGGUCUUGCCAAGGAGAAGGAAGAGAAUUUUAAAUGAACACAUCUUCACAGGAACUGAGACUACCUACUCAGAUCACAUCUUCACAGGAACUGAGACUACCUACUGAUAUUAAUGCACAGAUAAAACAAUGCCAUUAAAAUACAAUGAAGUAAUGAAAGUCAUCUUUUCUAUUUAAUGUGAAGAAUAACAGUGUCCUGGUAAUAAAACUCCUUCCCAAUUUGAACAUAAUACUGACAAUGAAAUGGUAAUGGCAUACCUAGGAGAUACCGUGAGUUCAGUUCCUGACUACUACAAUUAAGUGAAUUAUGCAAUCAAGCGAGUCAAAUGAAUUUUUUGGGUUCCCAUUGCAUGUACAAGUUAUGUUUGCACUAUGCUGCUAUUAAAUGUGCAAAGGCAUU